GAUCAAAAUCGGAGGCGGCGACUCUGGACGCGUGUCGGGCCCUUCUCGCGGAUCACCUCAGCUACGGCGCC
rnacentral:rRNA from 1 species